rnacentral:rRNA from 1 species
UACAGAGGUCCCAAGCGUUGUUCGGAUUCACUGGGCGUAAAGGGUGCGUAGGCGGUCGGGUAAGUCUGAUGUGAAAUCUCACAGCUUAACUGUGAAACUGCAUUGGAUACUAUCCGGCUCGAGGAAUGGAGGGGAGACUGGAAUACUUGGUGUAGCAGUGAAAUGUGUAGAUAUCAAGUGGAACACCAGUGGCGAAGGCGAGUCUCUGGACAUUUCCUGACGCUGAGGCAGGAAUGCCAGGGGAGCAAACGGG